rnacentral:rRNA from 1 species
AAUAUUGCACAAUGGAGGAAACUCUUAUGCAGCGACGCCCCGUGAACGACGAAGGCCUUCGGGUCGUAACGAUCUGUUCUUUGGGACGGUAAUGACGGUACCCAGUGCGGAAGCACCGGCUAACUACGUGCCAGCAGCCGCGGUAAUACGUAGGGGGCGGGCGUUGUCCGGAAUUAUUGGGCGUAAAGGGUUCGCAGGCGGUCUUUUAAGUCAGAUGUUAAAUGAAUAGGCUCAACCUAUGAGUGGAUUUGAAACUGGAAGACUUGAGUUAAGGAGAGGAAAGUGGAAUUCCUAGUGUAGCGGUGAAAAGCGUAGAUAUUAGGAGGAAUACCAGUGGCGAAGGCGACUUUCUGGACUUAAACUGACGCUGAGGAACGAAAGCAUGGGGAGCAAACAG